GAAGGGAAUUGUCCUGAGAGAAUUAUCACUUUGGCUGGACCCACUAAUGCCAUCUUCAAAGCCUUUGCUAUGAUCAUUGACAAACUGGAAGAGGACAUAAGCAGCUCUAUGACCAAUAGCACAGCUGCCAGUAGACCCCCGGUCACCCUGAGGCUGGUGGUCCCUGCUAGUCAGUGUGGCUCUCUCAUUGGAAAAGGUGGAUGCAAGAUCAAGGAAAUACGAGAGAGACGAGUCUCACUGUUUUGCUCAGGCUGGUCUCCAACUCCUGAGCUUCCGAUGAUUCGACUGCCUUGGUCUCCCAAAGUGCUCGGAUUACAGAUGUGAGCCACUGUGCCUGGCCCCUACUUCCUGUUUAACUAUGGAAGUUACGUUGAAUUAUGGAAGAUUUUAAUUGUAUCUAGAUGUUACUGAAUUUGGUGUUGGAAUGAAACUCGAAUGGCUGCUUGAGUUUUUGGGAGCGUAUCGUACAUGGCACGACAGAGAUCUUAAUUUUGUUAAUUGCUAUAUUCGAAGCACUUCUCAUGGUACCUGGCACAUAGAAUGGCCUUGAUGUAAAUAUUUUUUCAGUAACAUAAUGAAAG
rnacentral:lncRNA from 10 species